UGGGGAAUUUUGCGCAAUGGGGGAAACCCUGACGCAGCAACGCCGCGUGAGUGAUGAAGGCCUUCGGGUCGUAAAGCUCUGUCAGAGGGGAAGAAGUGUGAGGUGGCUAAUAUCCAUUUCACUUGACGGUACCUUCAAAGGAAGCACCGGCUAACUCCGUGCCAGCAGCCGCGGUAAUACGGAGGGUGCAAGCGUUAAUCGGAAUCACUGGGCGUAAAGCGCUCGUAGGCGGUUUGGUCAGUCAGAUGUGAAAGCCCUCGGCUUAACCGGGGAACUGCAUUUGAUACUGCCAGACUUGAGUGUCGGAGAGGGUGGCGGAAUUCCGGGUGUAGGAGUGAAAUCCGUAGAUAUCCGGAGGAACACCAGUGGCGAAGGCGGCCACCUGGACGACAACUGACGCUG
rnacentral:rRNA from 1 species